rnacentral:rRNA from 1 species
UACGGAGGAUGCAAGCGUUAUCCGGAAUGAUUGGGCGUAAAGCGUCCGCAGGUGGCAAUGUAAGUCUGCUGUUAAAGAGUCUAGCUCAACUAGAUAAAAGCAGUGGAAACUACAUAGCUAGAGUACGUUCGGGGCAGAGGGAAUUCCUGGUGUAGCGGUGAAAUGCGUAGAGAUCAGGAAGAACACCAGUGGCGAAGGCGCUCUGCUAGGCCGUAACUGACACUGAGGGACGAAAGCCAGGGGAGCAAACGGG